AUUUUAUUAGCAAAAUCAUAUUUUUUGCCCGCAUUCUCGUUGCUUUCUCUCCCUUUUUCUUCCUCUGUCUUUCUUCCUCUCCGAAGUUUCCAAUUGCCCGAAAUCCCCUUUCUCUUCCUUUCCCUUUCUUCCCGAUUCCCAGAUUCCUUUUCUUCAUCUCCGUUUCCUCUCCCUUUUUUUGGCCAAGUUAUCCAUUCCCUUUGCUGUGAGUCACUAGUUCAUCUUCGUCUGACAAAAUUAAACCUCCAUUAAUUGUUGAAGAAUCAAACCUCUGGUACAUAUGGUCUUGAUUGAUUUCAACUAUCGAAGCCAUCUCAGUUGUCGUUGAAAACGACCUCGGUGGUGGCGAGGCUGCGAACGCAACAUUGUUAUGCCGCAUGGAAUAAACUUGGAAAUUCGCGAGGAGAAUCAUCACAUACACCAUUAGAGUGGGAGUAUGAGAAAAGACCUGCUGAAAUAGCCACACGAACGAAGCAUGCAUCUCUCUCUGAACCCGAGCGAGAAUCCCCUUAUGGAAGGAAGUUGAUUAUGUGAAGCAUUUAUAGAAGAACAAGCAGGAGCUGAAGGUUGAAGAUGCUGGUAUUGUAGCUUUAUUUGGGCUGGAAUGCUUUGCACGGUUUUGUGCUGGGGUGAUUGUGGGAAGGGGAAAUUGUUUUUCUUCAUUUCAUUUUUUUCUGCAAUUCUCCUAUAAUCAAUUUUUCAUCUGUCUAGACUUCUAUGAUUUAAUGUUUUGCUGGUUGCAGGAUCAGGUAAGUUAGCAGAAAAGGUUGCCCCACCAGUUGAAAACGGGAACCAAGAGUAAUUGAACAUAUUGAUGCUUAUGUAGACAUAGAAGGUUUUCUAGUUUACUGCAACACUCAAGUCUUUCAGAUCAAGUGGUUUUCCAUCAACUUGAUGUGUCUGACCUUGUUAGCAUUACUUCUUUCACAGAUUUCAUCAAAACCCAUUUCGAGAAACUGGAUAUCUUGGUAUAUAUGAUUCAAAGCUGAUUUACUUAUCUACUUUUUCAUUCUUCCUGAA